rnacentral:rRNA from 1 species
UACGUGAGGUGCAAGCGUUAAUCGGAAUUACUGGGCGUACAGCGCGCGCAGGCGGCUAGGUAUAGUGGACCGGUGACAUCCUCGGGCCUCAACCCGAGGCGGCCCGGUUAGGCAGCCUGGCUGGAGGCAGGGAGAGGGAUGUGGAAUACCCGGUGGAGCGGAUGAAUGCGUAGAGAUCGGUGGAACACCAGCGGCGAAGGCGGCGAUCCUGGCCCUGUACUGACGCUGAGGCGCGAUAGCGUGGGAGCAACGGG